rnacentral:rRNA from 1 species
UACGUAGGGUGCGAGCGUUGUCCGGAAUUAUUGGGCGUAAAGAGCGUGUAGGCGGCUUUACAGGUCCGUUGUGAAAACUCGAGGCUCAACCUCGAGACGCCGGUGGAAACCGUAAAGCUAGAGUCCGGAAGAGGAGAGUGGAAUUCCUGGUGUAGCGGUGAAAUGCGCAGAUAUCGAAGGAAGAACCAGCCCGUAGGCGAAGGCGACGUCGUCUGGGACGGUACUGACGCUGAAGACGCGGAAAGCGUAGG